rnacentral:rRNA from 1 species
AGCGAACGCUGGCGGCAGGCCUAACACAUGCAAGUCGAACGGAUCCUUCGGGAUUAGUGGCGGACGGGUGAGUAACACGUGGGAACGUGCCCUUUGGUUCGGAACAACUCAGGGAAACUUGAGCUAAUACCGGAUGUGCCCUUCGGGGGAAAGAUUUAUCGCCAUUGGAGCGGCCCGCGUCUGAUUAGCUAGUUGGUGAGGUAAAGGCUCACCAAGGCGACGAUCAGUAGCUGGUCUGAGAGGAUGAUCAGCCACAUUGGGACUGAGACACGGCCCAAACUCCUACGGGAGGCAGCAGUGGGGAAUCUUGCGCAAUGGGCGAAAGCCUGACGCAGCCAUGCCGCGUGAAUGAUGAAGGACUUAGGAUUGUAAAAUUCUUUCACCGGGGACGAUAAUGACGGUACCCGGAGAAGAAGCCCCGGCUAACUUCGUGCCAGCCGCCGCAGUAAUAC